UCAGAAUAUCUUCUUCAGGUACCCAAAACAUAUUUGGGCAUGCUGGUUGGGUCAGUAUGCGCCCUGAUGGGAGUGUUAACUAUUGCUCUACCUGUACCGGUUAUCGUAUCCAAC